UUAGAGAUAGCAAGCUGCGUUCGACUGUUAAUUGAAAGACCCAUACGGCUGUAUGGUCUCUAAG
rnacentral:tRNA from 1 species